rnacentral:rRNA from 1 species
UGAAUACGAGAUGCUACGGCAUUGAAGCAGUGUAUGUCAGACUUCCAAGAAAAGCUCGCAAUGUCAUAAACAAUAAAUGCCUGUACCAUAACCGACACAGGUGGGUAGGUAGAGUAUACUAAGGGGCGCGAGAUAACUCUCUCUAAGGAACUCGGCAAAAUGACUCCGUAACUUCGGGAGAAGGAGUGCCUUAUUUUAUAAGGUUGCAAUAACAAGAUCCAAGCAACUGUUUACCAAAAACACAGGUCUCCGCUAAGUCGAAAGACGAUGUAUGGGGGCUGACGCCUGCCCAGUGCCAGAAGGUUAAAGAAGUUGGUUAGCUUCGGCGAAGCUGAUGACUGAAGCCCUGGUGAACGGCGGCCGUAACUAUAACGGUCCUAAGGUAGCGAAAUUCCUUGUCGGGUAAGUUCCGACCCGCACGAAAGGCGUAAUGAUUUGGAUACUGUCUCGGAGAGGGGCUCGGUGAAAUAGACUUGUCUGUGAAGAUGCGGACUACCUGCACCUGGACAGAAAGACCCUAUGAAGCUUUACUGUAACUUGAGAUUGAAAUUGGACUUUAUUUGCGCAGUAUAGGUGGGAGACGUUGAGAAUAUUCUUGCGGGAAUAUUGGAGUCAUCAGUGAGAUACCACUCUUGUAAUGUUAGAUUUCUAACUUUGUAUCAUUAUCUGGUCAAAGGACAGUUUCAGGCGGGCAGUUUGACUGGGGCGGUCGCCUCCUAAACGGUAACGGAGGCGCACAAAGGUUUCCUCUGAACGUGUAGAAAUCGUAUCUAGAGUGUAAAGGCAUAAGGAAGCUUGACUGUGAGACCUACAAGUCGAGCAGGGACGAAAGUCGGUCUUAGUGAUCUGACGGUGCUGAGUGGAAAGGCCGUCACUCAACGGAUAAAAGUUACUCUAAGGAUAACAGGCUGAUCUCCCCCAAGAGUUCACGUCGACGGGGAGGUUUGGCACCUCGAUGUCGGCUCAUCGCAUCCUGGGGCGGUAGUACGUCCCAAGGGUUGGGCUGUUCGCCCAUGAAAGCGGUACGCGAGCUGGGUUCAGAACGUCGUGAGACAGUUCGGUCCAUAUCCGGUGUAGGCGUUAGAAUAUUGAGAGGAGCCUUCUUUAGUACGAGAGGACCGAGAAGGACAUACCUCUGGUGUACCAGUUAUCGUGCCAACGGUAAACGCUGGGUAGCUAUGUAUGGAGUGGAUAACCGCUGAAAGCAUCUAAGUGGGAAGCCCACCUCAAGAUAAGUAUUCUC